GUAGGUGGCAAGCGUUGUCCGGAAUUAUUGGGCGUAAAGCGCGCGCAGGGCGGUCCUUUAAGUCUGAUGUGAAAGCCCACGGCUCAACCGUGGAGGGUCAUUGGAAACUGGGGGACUUGAGUACAGAAGAGGAAAGCGGAAUUCCAAGUGUAGCGGUGAAAUGCGUAGAGAUUUGGAGGAACACCAGUGGCGAAGGCGGCUUUCUGGUCUGUAACUGACGCUGAGGCGCGAAAGCGUGGGGAGCAAACAGGAUUAGAUACCCUGGUAGUCCACGCCGUAAACGAUGAGUGCUAAGUGUUAGGGGGUUUCCGCCCCUUAGUGCUGCAGCUAACGCAUUUAGCACUCCGCCUGGGGAGUACGGCCGCAAGGCUG
rnacentral:rRNA from 1 species